AUAAAUAUAAUAAAUAAAAUUGAAAAGGAUCUAAAUUAUUUGAUAUGUAUAUAGUUUUAUUUUCAUUACAAAAUACUACUGGUUAAAUUUUAAAAACAUUUUAAACACUAUCUACAUAUAAAUUUUAGAAGGUAAAAAAAAAAUAUUUUUCGCCCUCGAACCCGGCCCUGUGUACAUCAUAUACAAUACAUGCAUCUGUUCGCUGUGUAUAUAUAUGAACUAUGUGGCGUACGUAUACAUAACAUACACACACGUGUUCAGGAUUAUAUCGAGCCAGACAAGUACAGAUAAAUAAUAAAGAAAGGGAACCAAUAGUAAGAGGACUGUUGAGUUUUGAAUUUAAAAAGCACGACAAGAUAUAGAUAUAAGCGUAUCUAUCGUGAUAUGGACUUUGAGAUUUUGGUCCAAACAGAGCGCUGGACCAAUAAGCAGCAACCAUCUAUUCUACCACUAUGGAAAAGCUAAAGUCCACGUGGACUUUCUCCUCACCAAUAGCGUCACUCUUCAUUUUUCCCCAC
rnacentral:lncRNA from 1 species